rnacentral:rRNA from 1 species
GACGAACGCUGGCGGCGUGCCUAAUACAUGCAAGUAGAACGCUGAAGAGAGGAGCUUGCUCUUCUUGGAUGAGUUGCGAACGGGUGAGUAACGCGUAGGUAACCUGCCUGGUAGCGGGGGAUAACUAUUGGAAACGAUAGCUAAUACCGCAUGAUAUUAAUUGUCGCAUGAUAAUUAAUUGAAAGAUGCAAUUGCAUCACUACCAGAUGGACCUGCGUUGUAUUAGCUAGUUGGUGUGGUAACGGCUCACCAAGGCGACGAUACAUAGCCGACCUGAGAGGGUGAUCGGCCACACUGGGACUGAGACACGGCCCAGACUCCUACGGGAGGCAGCAGUAGGGAAUCUUCGGCAAUGGGGGGAACCCUGACCGAGCAACGCCGCGUGAGUGAAGAAGGUUUUCGGAUCGUAAAGCUCUGUUGUAAGAGAAGAACGGGUGUGAGAGUGGAAAGUUCACACUGG